rnacentral:rRNA from 1 species
ACCCGCUGAACUUAAGCAUAUCAAUAAGCGGAGGAAAAGAAACCAACAGGGAUUGCCUCAGUAACGGCGAGUGAAGCGGCAACAGCUCAAAUUUGAAAUCUGGCCUCGCGGCCCGAGUUGUAAUUUGUAGAGGAUGCUUCGAGCAUGGUCUGGCCUAAGUUCCUUGGAACAGGACGUCAUAGAGGGUGAGAAUCCCGUAUGCGGCCAGGUGCCUACGCUCAUGUGAAGCUCCUUCGACGAGUCGAGUUGUUUGGGAAUGCAGCUCAAAAUGGGUGGUAAAUUUCAUCUAAAGCUAAAUAUUGGCCAGAGACCGAUAGCGCACAAGUAGAGUGAUCGAAAGAUGAAAAGCACUUUGGAAAGAGAGUUAAACAGUACGUGAAAUUGUUGAAAGGGAAGCGCUUGCAACCAGACUUGCGCGCGGCCGAUCAUCUGGUGUUCUCACCGGUGCACUCGGUCGUGCUCAGGCCAGCAUCGGUUUCGGUGGUUGGAUAAAGGCCCUAGGAAUGUAGCUUCUCUCGGGGAGUGUUAUAGCCUAGGGUGCAAUGCAGCCUACCGGGACCGAGGACCGCGCUUCGGCUAGGAUGCUGGCGUAAUGGUUGUAAGCGACCCGUCUUGAAACACGG